CUUUCUGCGCUCAAGUGAUCCUCUCAGCCUCCCAAAGUGCUGGGAUUAUAGGUGUGAGCCACUGCACCCAGCCCCACCUGGGAUUUCCAGUCUUAAUGGCAUUCUGGAGAUAGAAACCAUUAGGCCUAGAGCUUAGGAGUCAUGCUGAAGACUGGCCACAGGACAGGUUCUGUCUUCGAAGUGCUGUUUCUGUCCAGUGUGUGAACUGGCGGAGUGCCGGGCACAGCACUGCCAGCCCCUGGCGCCUCCCCCACCCCACUGCCAUCUGCAAGGAGCCCUCGCCUGUCCCGGUGUGCAUGGCGGCUUCGGGGGAAAGCCAGGGGCUCCCGCAACGCUGGCUGCUGUGUCCCAACACAUUCAGUGUUCCUUUAGGUCAAGAAGACAUUUCAAGGACUCAUUCCCGCCUUAGAAACCACUGAACAAAAAUGUGUUACUAAGACCCAUGCCUGGAUAAUGAAUAAAAUGUGGUGUAGACAUA